rnacentral:rRNA from 1 species
CGCCGAAUCCUGCCGGGCGUGUCCCGGUCUGGACGUGUGGCGUUCCAAGGGCGCCUCUCGGCCUUUACUGCCACGCCCAAGUCAUUACCGACCGAAGCCUUUCCCAGAGCGGGUGAUAGGCCUUUAGUGGCGACGGUGGUUUGGGUCCUUGAGCGUCCUUUGAGUCAGGUUGCUUGGGAAUGCAGCCUAAAUAUGGGUGGUAAACUCCAUCUAAGGCUAAAUACUGGCUCGAGUCCGAUAGCGAACAAGUACCGUGAGGG